rnacentral:rRNA from 1 species
ACUAACGCUGGCGGCAGGCCUAACACAUGCAAGUCGAGCGCACUCUUCGGAGUGAGCGGCGGACGGGUUAGUAACGCGUGGGAACAUACCCUUCUCUACGGAAUAGCCUCGGGAAACUGAGAGUAAUACCGUAUACGCCCUUCGGGGGAAAGAUUUAUCGGAGAUGGAUUGGCCCGCGUUAGAUUAGAUAGUUGGUGGGGUAAUGGCCUACCAAGUCUACGAUCUAUAGCUGGUUUGAGAGGAUGAUCAGCAACACUGGGACUGAGACACGGCCCAGACUCCUACGGGAGGCAGCAGUGGGGAAUCUUAGACAAUGGGCGAAAGCCUGAUCUAGCCAUGCCGCGUGAGUGACGAAGGCCUUAGGGUCGUAAAGCUCUUUCGCCAGGGAUGAUAAUGACAGUACCUGGUAAAGAAACCCCGGCUAACUCCGUGCCAGCAGCCGCGGUAAUACGGAGGGGGUUAGCGUUGUUCGGAAUUACUGGGCGUAAAGCGUACGUAGGCGGAUUGGAAAGUAUGGGGUGAAAUCCCAGGGCUCAACCCUGGAACUGCCCUGUAAACUAUCAGUCUAGAGUUCGAGAGAGGUGAGUGGAAUUCCAAGUGUAGAGGUGAAAUUCGUAGAUAUUUGGAGGAACACCAGUGGCGAAGGCGGCUCACUGGCUCGAUACUGACGCUGAGGUACGAAAGUGUGGGGAGCAAACAGGAUUAGAUACCCUGGUAGUC